GAUGAACGCUGGCGGCGUGCCUAAUACAUGCAAGUCGAGCGAACAGACGAGGAGCUUGCUCCUCUGACGUUAGCGGCGGACGGGUGAGUAACACGUGGAUAACCUACCUAUAAGACUGGGGUAACUUCGGGAAACCGGAGCUAAUACCGGAUAAUAUAUUGAACCGCAUGGUUCAAUAGUGAAAGACGGUUUUGCUGUCACUUAUAGAUGGAUCCGCGCCGCAUUAGCUAGUUGGUAAGGUAACGGCUUACCAAGGCAACGAUGCGUAGCCGACCUGAGAGGGUGAUCGGCCACACUGGAACUGAGACACGGUCCAGACUCCUACGGGAGGCAGCAGUAGGGAAUCUUCCGCAAUGGGCGAAAGCCUGACGGAGCAACGCCGCGUGAGUGAUGAAGGUCUUCGGAUCGUAAAACUCUGUUAUUAGGGAAGAACAAAUGUGUAAGUAACUAUGCACGUCUUGACGGUACCUAAUCAGAAAGCCACGGCUAACUACGUGCCAGCAGCCGCGGUAAUACGUAGGUGGCAAGCGUUAUCCGGAAUUAUUGGGCGUAAAGCGCGCGUAGGUGGUUUUUUAAGUCUGAUGUGAAAGCCCACGGCUCAACCGUGGAGGGUCAUUGGAAACUGGAAAACUUGAGUGCAGAAGAGGAAAGUGGAAUUCCAUGUGUAGCGGUGAAAUGCGCAGAGAUAUGGAGGAACACCAGUGGCGAAGGCGACUUUCUGGUCUGUAACUGACGCUGAUGUGCGAAAGCGUGGGGAUCAAACA
rnacentral:rRNA from 1 species